AUGCAAUUUCCUGAAAGGAAUGACCCAAGUUCCAAUGCGAAUCCAGGCAUAAAUGUUGUGGUAAUACAAUUUCCACAAAGGAAUGACCCAAGUUCCAAUGUGAAUCCAGGCAUAAAUGAUGUGUUAAUGCAAUUAUGUCAAAGGAAUGACCCAAGUUCCAAUGCGAAUCCAGGCAUAAAUGAUGUGUUAAUGCAAUUAUGUCAAAGGAAUGACCCAAGUUCCAAUGCGAAUCCAGGUAUGAAUUAUGAAUAUUUCACAAUAAAAUGGUCUAGGGGAAAAUUGAGAUAAAAUUUAAUGCCAUUUG
rnacentral:lncRNA from 1 species